UACGAAGGGGGCAAGCGUUGUUCGGAAUUACUGGGCGUAAAGGGCGCGUAGGCGGCUUAUCAAGUCAGGCGUGAAAUUCCCGGGCUCAACCUGGGGGCUGCGCUUGAUACUGAUGAGCUUGAAUGCGGGAGAGGAUAGUGGAAUUCCCAGUGUAGAGGUGAAAUUCGUAGAUAUUGGGAAGAACACCGGUGGCGAAGGCGGCUAUCUGGACCGACAUUGACGCUGAUGCGUGAAAGCGUGGGGAGCAAACAGG
rnacentral:rRNA from 1 species